GGCCCUACCUUGGCCUCCCAAAGUUCUAUGAUUAGAGGCGUGAGUCACCCUCCCUCGCCAGGAAGUAUGACAAACAGAAUGAGCCUGCAACCAGAGUCUUUGAUUCAAACCCUUGCCCACCAUUCACUGACUGUUUGAGCCUCAGUAUCUUUAUGUGGAACAUGAGGUCUAUAACAGAACUUAACAAACAGGAGAUAAUUAUUAAUGAGAUUAAAUGCAAUGAGGAAUGUCAGUGGUACCCUCUCUGUAGAGGAACUUAAGGAGUUGAGCCUCCAAGCUUCUUUCUUGAUAUGCUGAUGAAAGACAUAGCCUAGUUUAUGGUGGGUGCUGCUUAAAUUCCAGCCCUCUCUCUUUCAGUCAACAGGCUUGGACUCAAAAUAAGCCCCAUUCAGGCUGAUUUGCCUGCCUAUAUCAGUCACAAACUGCACCUCUUGCAAAAACAGCUUUCCCUCCAAUGUGUACUGGCCUUGAAGAAGACUGAGAUAUAGGGAAACAAAGAUCUUUAAAAUCAAGUUACUGAAAGGUCACUGAAAUAAUAUACAGUGAAAGAUGGAUGAUGCCAUCAUUGUAUAAAUAAAGUCAGUACAACCAUUAAAGAACUUACAAGUAUGGGUUUUUUCUUCUCUAUGGUUAUGAUCAUGGAUAGAAUAAUUUUGAUAUGACCAUGAUUAUAUUAUAUCUGGAUGGUUUAGAUGUCUUUCAGAAAAUUAAUAUUUAUUCUUUGGCAUUAUAUAAUUUCUUAAAUAAACAUGAAGAGAGAAAUGUUUUGAAUAACAAUUCUCUAGUCCUAAAUUUUCUAUACUUAGCAUGUAUUGUUUCUUUUUUAAUAACUUACAACAACUUUAUUUUAAAAUUAGUUUAGGCAAUGUUUUUUGAAAUGGCUUCUUUGAAGUCGCUUCUUGGAAUGAUUAUAGCCAUUGUGUAAAGCCAGCAAUAAAAGAAGGAUUUGAAAGUAGAGAGUAGAACAGUAGUUACCAAGGGCUGGAGGCAGGGGUAGAGGAGAUAUUGAUCAAAGGACACAAAAUUUCAUUUAGGAGGAAUAAGUUAAAGAGACGCACUGUCACAUGGUGACUACAGUUAAUAACAAUGUGUUGUGUUAUUGAAAAUCCAUGAGGGUAGAUUUUAAGUGUUCUGACCACAAAAAAAAGCAUGUGAGGUAACACAUACAUUAAUUAGCUCUAUGUAGCCAUUCUAUAAUGUAUACAUGUUUCAAAACAACAUGUACACAAUAAAUAUAUAUGAUUUUUUAUUUGCUAGUUAAGAAAAGCGUUUGACACUUCAAAAAAUAAAAUACUUUUGGCAUAUGAAGAGUCAUUUACAAUCACGCCCCAGACUUUGUUGUUAAUAUUAGCAGGGAUAGUCAUUGCUUAUAAGGUCUUCACAUGCUUAUAAAAGAAGUUUCACUAAAUCUAGUUAGCAUUGAGAAGUGUUGACAAGAAGAGUUGAAAAUAAACCUCAAGACAACUUUCUGAUUUAAAAUUCUAUUUCUUGGUGUGUGAAUGUUAUUUUUGAGGAAACAUACACUUUAUUGCAACAUAAUAAAUAAAUGAGAAAAUAAGACAAUGUUAUUUUACCCAAUAUAGCAGGGUGGUCUUUAAAUAAGUGCAUAAAUAGCCCAUGAGAUAGUUUGAAGCUUUCAGCUUUGUCACCCUGUUGGUCUAGUCAAAUGACUCACAUAUUAGCAAUUUGUUUGCAAAACAUCUUCUUCUUAUAGUUUCCAUUGGAUUACAUAAGAUUGUUUUAUCCUGAUAGAUAAUCUGGACUUUCUUCACCAAAAGAAGGUUAAUAUUCCUACAAAUUUUAAACCAAAACAUUAAAUUUUAUACUGAAAAUACAUCUUCCUUGAGGUCAAGACUGUAGGGGAAGGCAGAUUUUUGGUGUCCUUAUCCAAAUGAUAGCCUUGCAAACCAGGCUGUUUUCAUGAGAGGAUUUUCUUACUUUAUUUAAAUCUUCUCUGAGCGUAACAGGAAAUAAAUCUGGAGACUCCAGCUUCUGGAGCUUUUCCACAAAGAAGAUAAUCUUUCUGAUUUAAAGACACAAUAAACCCUUCUUUCUCCAUGUUCUUCAAAAUCCAUAGAGCUCAAAUAACCACUUCUUUUCAUUCGCUAUAGAACAGCAUUAUUUCCAAAAUUGCAUUUAAAUCAUCUACAUACAGAAGGUUAAAUUUGUUUAAAAAUGAAUAAUUACAUUCAUUUCUUUACAUUUGUACUCUGAAUAAUGUGGAAUUUAAACUAGGUGUGGUUACACUUUAGCUAUGAGACAUUGGGCCGGUCACUUAUUCUCUUCAGAGGAUUAAAAGGAUAAAAUAUUUUAAAAAAUAUCUAUCUAUCUAUCUAUCUAUCUAUCUAUCUAUCUAUCUAUAGAUAGAUACACACACACACACACACACACACACAUAGAGUUCUUAUACAAACCCUCAUUAAAUGUAAUCCAAGUUGUAGACCCACAGUACUGAUUUAGGUAGGCAAAAUAUCAAAUUAACAACAACAAAAAAAUACCAGACAUAAAAAAUGUGUCUCAUAUUCUGGACACAUCAUUAUUCUCUGAAAUAUCCACAGACCACUCUAAUCUGAGCACACCCUAGGUGGACCAGGAACACAAGUAAUGUGAAUGACUGCAAUAAUAAAAUGAGUAUGUUAAACUAUCAAUUACUUGGCUUUGAUUCUGUGCUUGAAUUAUAUUCAAUGAGCCUCUGCUGUGUGCCAGACAAUGUUCUGGGCAGCAGCGACACACUGGUGAACAGUCCUUGCCUAUAUGGAGCUUACAUUUUAGAAGGCAAAGACAGACCAAUAAAUAAGUCAGCAAACAAUUCGUCAAUAUAACUUCAAAUAAUAACAAAUACUUUGAAGAAAAUCAACUAGGGUCGUGCCUGAGGGCUUGGGAAUUAAAUGUACUUUAGUUUGGAAACCAGAGAAGUCAUGGCUGAGGGAUUUAUAUCUUCACUGACAACUGAAGACCCAGAAGAAACCAGCAAGGCAAAGGCUGGGAAUCAAUGUCUCCAGCUGUGUCCUUGAGGAAGCAGGAAAUGCAAACGGCUCUAAAGGAAGAAGGAGCUUACUUAUUUGCCAAACAGAAAGAAAGUUGAUGAGAGCAAUGAAACCGCAAAUUAAUUAAGAUCAAGAAAACACUAACACCAAAACUCAAAGGAUGUUGGAAGCUUGAAAGAAGACCUCAAAGACAAUAUUUGGGCAUAUUUUAAGAGCAUCAUCAAUACUCUGUAUGGCACCGAGGAUGACUUAUGGAAAAACAGAGUUAUCAAUGACUUUUUGUUGGAAAUUAUCCAAAAGAGUAAGAUUCUGCAAAGAAGUUUGUGAAUUUAUUUACCAGUUUAUUUUUAUUUCUAUUUUCAUUUUACGAUUGCCUGAGAGUGAUAUUUGAAAAGUGUUAUAUUCAUAUAUGUCUAAAUUUUUCAACAAGUAUCAAAUAAAGAUUCUAAGUUAUAAGAAA